rnacentral:lncRNA from 1 species
GGGGCGGGGAAGACGAAAAGGUGGUGGUGAGGAAGGGCCUUUCCGGAGGCGAUGCCGUCUGCAUUCUCAGUCAGCAAUUUCCCCGUCAGCAUCCCCGCCGUGAUCACGCAGACGGACUGGACGGAGCCCUGGCUCGUGGGGCUGGCUGCCUUCCACGUGCUUUGCCUGCUGCUCACCUGCCUCUCAUCCCGGAGGUACAAGCUACAGGUGGGGCACUUCCUGUGCCUGGUGACCUUAGUCUACUGCGCGGAGUACAUCAAUGAAGUGGCGGCGGUGAACUGGAGGUGAACGGCCCCGGGCACGUGGACCUUGUUGUUCUCGAAGUACCAGUAUUUUGACUCGAGGGGCAUGUUCAUCUCCAUAGUGUUCUCGGCGCCCGUGCUACUGAACGCCCUGGCCAUCGUGGUCCUGUGGGUGUGCAAGGCCCUGACCGUGAUGACCGACCUGAGGGCCCUGCAGCAGAGGAGGAGGGCCAGGGGCAGGCCCGGGAGGAGUGACGCCUCGGAUCCGGCCUCGCGCGCUCCUGGACUGCACUUAGACCAGCCUUUAGGACAGAGUUUGCCGCACGUCCACCAGGGCACUCGCCGGGCCUGCAGGGGGUCCCGUCUCUCCAGUUAAGUUGUAAGCAAACGGAACCACGCACGUCGCCACACGUCCACGGGACUCCUGUGACUGUGUGAACUACCAGACAUCCGUCCACAUGGGGACGGUGACUGAGUGAGGGACAGUGCCAUGCACGCGUGGGCACCUCCGUCACCCCCAUCAACUCGCAUCACCUCCAUCACCCCUAUCACUCCUGUCACCUCCGUCACCCCGUCACCCCUGUCAACCCCCAUCACCCCCGUCACCUCCAUCACCCCGUCACCCCUGUCACCUCCAUCACCCCUGUUACCUCCAUCACUUCCUGUCACCUCCAUCACCCCCUGUCAACCCCCAUCACCCCUGUCACCUCCUAUCACCUCUAUCACCCCUGUCACCCCCAUCACCUCCAUCACCCCCUGUCACAUCCGUCACCCUGGUCUGAUCUGCAUAGCGGUGGCCUCUCCAUGUGGUGCUGCCACAGGACAACACGAGGGGCUGCCUUUCCUUUCAUCCAGUUAGAGAUGUGACGACCCUCGGAGGCCCUGGGUCGGAAUCCACAGAAGCAGUGGCUGGAUGAGCCCCUUGAGUUGUCUUUAGGAAGGAAAGUUGCCAGUAGAAACAGUCAACAUUCACCUGUUUCAACUAACAGAUUUUUUUAUGGCAAAUACAAAGAUUGAUUGU